UCUCUCUUUCUUGUUCUUUCUCUUCAACUUCACCAAAUUUCAAAUUCUCUCUUCCACCGUACCUUUCUGUGAGACACCCAUGGUUGAAUCUCCAUGCCACCGAGUCCCACACCACCACUACCGGCGGUGCUUGUUGUAGUGGCCUUCUCCUAUCUUAAGGUUCUCUCUCUGAUUUCUCGUUCUCUCUAGCCCAAAUCCAGCUAUGGCAUAAUGGCACCAACUCCACCAUCGUUGGCGGUGCUUCUCACCUGCUUCACCACCACUAGUGACAAUAUUACAACAAUUCAUUGCUUGGGUUUGGCUUUCAUUUUAAUUUUAAUGUUAAUUUUUGGAGUGCAUAGAGAUGUUUGUGAAAAUGUCUACUAGAAACUUUUAAGUUAUUAUAAAAAUAGGCGUGGGGUGGUUUGCUAAUUUAUUGUUGUUUUGGUAUUUGGGAUUUCCCCUUUGUAUGGGUUCCUUUUGUUUGCUUUUGAAAUUUUAAAAGUUAGUGAUUUAUCACAAGCUCAUUGAUUUUUGUUUGUGUUUUUUUCGUGUCAUUCUAAAUCUGAUGGGAAAUUAAUAUAUAGGUGUUUUCUUAUGGGAAAUUUAUCUUAGAUACUAUCUUAAAUUCCUUAAUGUCAAAUACAUGUGAUUGGUCUUUUUUACUGUGUUGUGCUGUUGCAGGUUUCAAUAUCUUUGCUUAAAGGUUUCAAUAUCCUUUGAAGAGAAAGAACAAGAAAGAUAGAGGAAUCGAACUGAGCCUGAGUCCACAUCUAUAAAUAAAUAAAUUCACGACAACAUCAGAGUUCAUCGCCUCUUCUUAACGGUGUUUAUUUGUCCCAGACAAGAACACCAGAGUUCAUCGCCUCUAUUUCUAACUGCACCAAUAUCCCAACUCUUAAGGGAAGUUUGUAUCACAUUGUGGUAGGUCUUGACAAGAAGGAAGCUUUGAACAUUAUAGUGCACAAGAUGGAGGUGGUGGUGGUGGACAAAAUAUCUGAAUUGCCAGAGCCUCUUCUACAAUACAUUUUGUCUUUCCUUCCUAUUAAACAAGUUGUUCAAUCCAGUACAUUGUCCAAGAGAUGGAAUCAUGUCUGUUCUACAAUCCCAGUUCUAGAAUUUGAUAAAUCCUUCUUCGAGUCAAAGUUGUGGUGUCAAGACACCAAGGAAACUUGCGAAAUCCAGAGAAAGAGGGUGGAGUUAUAUCACUUUGUGGAGCAAAAUUUACUAAGCCGCCGUAGGCAAGGGCUAAGUAUAAAGAAGUUUACAUUUGCAGUGUACUUGAGGACACCGAAAUCAGUGUCUCGUGUGGACCGGUGGAUUGAAUAUGUAGUCAAGAGUGAUGUUGAAGAGCUUAAUCUUGACUUUCAAACGUUUAAAUGGAAGUGGAAGAGGUAUUAUCCCUUGCCUCAGAAUAUUCUACUUGCAAAAUCAAUAACUGUGUUGAGGUUAAAGGCAUGUAGGUUGGAUUCAUACUUUGGUGAUAUAAACUUAUCCUCUUUGAAAAUUUUGUCUUUAUAAAGUGGGUACAAAUGAUCAAAUUAUCCAAAAUCUAGUUGCCGGGUGUCCUGUGAUAGAAGACAUAGGAAUUGAAUACUGUCGUGGGUUGAAAUGUAUACAGUUCUCUGGUCUACCUAAAGUCAAGUCAAUUGAGUUGAAAAGCAAUAAAGGUGUUGAGACAGUUGAAUUAGAAGCAUCAAAUAUUUAUCAUGUACAUAUCCAACGGUUUGAAGCAUCCAAGAUCAACCUGGUGCCCUGUAAAAAUCUUAAGUUAUUAAUGCUAGGAAAACUGCACAUAACAGACAGCUGCUUCAAUUACCAUAUUUCUCAACUUCCGCUCAUUGAGUACUUGUCCAUAUAUUGGUGUGAUAAGUUGGAAAGUAUUAAGAUUUCAAGUCAUCGUCUUAAGACAUUACACAUAUUGAAAUGCGACAAGCUGGUUGAAGUCGAGAUUAACACUCCUAAGUUAUGUAAACUUUCAUAUCUUGGUGGUAAUACAAUAUCCUUUUCAGUGACUGCUUUGGCUUAUUUAUCAAAAGCUACCUACCAGAUGUUGCACUCCGAUGCUCCUUGGAAUGUUAAAAAGAUUGAAUUGCUUGCAAAUUUGAGUAAUUCCAAAUUAUUGGAGUUGCUAAAUAUUAGCUCCACAAAGGAUAUGGUUAUACCAAAGGAAUUGAGAGACAUAGUAUCAUCCCCAUCAUAUAAAGUCAAGCAGUUGAAGGUAGAGAUAUCGAAGUCAUUUACUACACAUGAAUUCAUUGAACUUGUGGAUAGCUUGCUUUGGAUUUCUCCUCGUCUAGAGCUUUUGUUAAUAACACAUGGGGAAUGGAUUGACAAGAAUUGGUAUCGCGAGACCAUAUCUUUCAAGUUCUCCUAUGAAAAGCCCAUUCUUAGAGGGGAGAAUUAUAGUUGUUGCAAAUUCCUUCCAGAUCCAUGUUGGAGGCAUUGCUUAAAGAGUGUCACGAUUGAGAAUUGUAGAGCACCUGCAAAUGUAGAGACUGUGAGGGCAGAUAAAGAAAUUCUAGAGAAGUACUUUUAUGAGAAUGCAAAGAUCCUGGAGAGCUUCCAAUUCAAUCCUAAAGUUGAAUGACAAAAAUUUUAAAGUAUCGUUUAAGAGAAUGUAGGUAUUUUAAGUUGAAUGACAGAGAGACUGAGAUAAUGUCCAGUUGCAUCAUCUGUAGACAUCAUUUCUGUCUAUGCCUAGAGUGCCUGGCCUGACUUGAGGUUUUAAGUUGUUAUGUAAGACAAAAUAUACUGUUUAAUUUAUUGUUUAUUGAUUUUGAUAUUUUCAUGCAACUUUUGAAGUUUUAGAUUAUGGUUGAUAUUUUCUUAAUUUUAGAUGUUAUUAAUACUUUCUAGACAAAUUAGAGUCCUUUUCUACUAUCUAUCUACUAAUCUGUAUAUAAAUAGUGCGAAUGUGCGUCAGUUGACAUUGUAGCUACAGUAGCUAUAGGUUUUUUUUUUUUUUUUUUUUUUUUUUUUUUUUUUUUUUUUUUUUUUUUUUUUUUUUCCAGUCAUUGGUUUGUGCUUUUUUUUUUUUUUCCUUUUAAAUAUUUAUAUGAGCUAGCAUAUAUAUUUUUAUACUGACACAACAAAUUUCACAAUAUUUUCACAAUUAUUGAGGUGCCAAUUUCUUAUAAGUCGAAAUAAAAUAAUAAAAUAUGAGAUUGUAAUCAAACUUUAUGUAUUUAGGUUUUUUCUUUUUGUUCAUUUUUUUAUGAUGUCGAUAUAUUUAAGUUUUUUUUUGGUUUUAAAUUUUAUAUAAUUUAUGUUUUUUGAUGACCCCCCUUAAAAAAUAAUCUUGGAGUCGUGACUGCCUGAUUAACCUACUUGGACAGUUGGACCAUAUUAUAUCUGAGACGCAGCAUGUAGCUUUAUCCUUGCCUUGGCGUAGAUUCACCCAUUUACAAAGGUUAAGUCCUUUUGUAGUUGUACUCUAGUUAUAUAAUGUAUUAUAAACCCGAUUUAAAAUACUAGUAUUACCAUUUUCGUGUAUGUUCUAAUAAGUAUUACUGUUUACUCAAAAAAAAAAAAAAAUUGCUACCUUAUGCCAUAGUGGAGAGAGUUAUUGAUGCUUAUAACUUGAUUGUGUGGAUGGAAGAUCUUUGCUUACCAUCAUAUUUAUUUGGGUCCACCACAAAUAUAAUUUUUUGUAAUACACCAAUCACAAUAUAUUAUAUCAGUGGUUAUAAAAAAAAAUAAAAAAUAAAAAUAAAAAAAAAAGAAGAAGAAGAAGAAGGAGGUUGUGUCCUUAAUGGAGGCAAAGAGGCUAUCUUGUACUAUUAAUCCUUUAUAUUGUAUAUUGAAGGGGUUUGGAAGUUUUUGAUGGUUUACUCGGUUGGAGGGGUUUGUUUUUGAUGGUUUACUCGUGAAUUUAUUUAUAAAUAAAUAAAUUCACAACAACAUUGAUAUCUAUUCUUUCUAUUUAACAGUGUUUGUAUUUGAAGUUUCUUUUUGAUGUCCCAGACAAACCCCCAGAGUUCAUUGCCCUGAUUUCUAACUGCACCAAUAUCCCAAGGGAAGUUGUAUCACAUUAUGGACAAAAUAUCUGAAUUGCCUGAGCCUCUUCUACACCACAUUCUGUCUUUCCUUCCCAUUAAACAAGUUUUUCAAUCUAGUACGUUGUCCAAGAGAUGGAAUUAUGUCUGGUCUACAAUCCCAGUUCUAGAAUUUGAUAAAUCCUUCUUUGAGUCAAAGUUGUGGUGUCGAGACACUAAGAAAACUUGCGAAAUCCAGAGAAAGAGGGUGGAGUUAUAUCACUUUGUGGACCAAAAUUUACUAAGCCGCUGUAGGCAAGGGUUAAAUAUAAAGAACUAAAGAAGUUUACACUUUACACUUUCAGUGUACUUGAGUACACCGAAAUCAGUGUCUCAUGUGGACCAUUGGAUCGAAUAUGUAGUCAAGAGUGAUGUUGAAUAGCUUAAUCUUGACUUUCAAAAAUUUGAAAGGAAGUGGAAGAGGUAUUAUCCCUUGCCUCAGAAUGUUCUACUUGCAAAAUCAAUAACUGUGUUGAGGUUAAAGGCAUGUCGGUUGGAGUCAUACUUUGGUGAUAUAAACUUAUCCUCUUUGAAAAUUUUGUCUUUAUAUAAAGUGGGUACAAAUGAUCAAAUUAUCCAAAAUCUAGUUGCUGGGUGUCCUGUGAUAGAAGACAUAGGAAUUGAAGACUGUUGUGGGUUGAAAAGUGUACAGUUCUCUGGUCUUCCUAAAGACAAGGCAAUUGAGUUGAAAAACAAUAAAGGUGUUGAGACAGUUGAAUUAGAAACAUCAAACAUUUAUCAUGUACAUAUCCAACAGUUUGAAGCAUCCAAGAUCAACCUGGUGCCCUGCAAAAAUCUGAAGUUAUUAAAGCUAGGAAAACUGCACAUAACAGACAGCUGCUUCAAUUACCAUAUUUCUCAACUUCCACUCAUUGAGUACUUGUCCGUAUAUUGGUGUGAUAAGUUGGAAAGUAUUAAGAUUUCAAGUCAUCUUCUUAAGACAUUACACAUAUUGAAAUGCAACAAGCUGGUUGAAGUCGAGAUUAACACUCCUAAGUUAUGUAAACUUGCAUAUCUUGGUGGUAAUACAAUAUCCUUUUCAGUGACUGCUUUGGCUUAUUUGUCAAAAGCUACCUACUAGAUGUUGCACUCCAAUGCUCCUUGGAAUGUUAAAAAGAUUGAAUUGCUUGCAAAUUUGAGUAAUUCCAAAUUAUUGAAGUUGCUAAAUAUUAAAUUCGCCAAGGAUAUGGUUAUACCAAAGGAAUUGAGAGACAUAGUAUCAAUGUAUCAUCCCCAUCAUAUAAAGUCAAGCAGUUGAAGGUAGAGAUAUCGAAGUCAUUUACUACACAUGAAUUCAUUGAACUUGUGGAUAGCUUGCUCUAGAUUUCUCCUCUUCUAGAGCUUUUGUUAAUAAAAUAUGGGAAAUGGAUAGACAAAGAUAAGUGUUACGAGACCAUAUCUUUCAAGUUCUCCUAUGAAAAGCCCAUUCUUGGAGGGGAGAAUUCUAGUUGUUGCAAAUUCCUACCAGUUCCUAGUUGGAGGCAUUGCUUAAAGAGCGUCAUGAUAGAGAACUUUAGAGCAUUCACAAAUGUAGAGACUCUAAAGGCAGAUGAAGAAUUUCUAGAGAAGUACUUUUAUGAGAACGCAAAUUUCUUGGAGAGCUUCCAAUUCAUUCCUAGAGCUGUUUGCUUAAACAAAAAAUUGUAAGUAUCCUUUUAGAGAUUGUAGGAAUUUUAAGUUGAAUGAUUGAGAGAAUGGAGACUGAUAUGAUGUCCACUUCUAUCAUUUGUAAACAUCAUCUAUGUCUAUGCCUAGAGUGCCUGGCCUGAUCACUUGAGGAUUACUUUUAAGUUGUGAUGUAAGACAAACAAUAUAGUUUAAUUUAUUGUUUGAUUUUGAUAU